CCUACGGGAGGCAGCAGUGAGGAAUAUUGGUCAAUGGCCGUAGGGCUGAACCAGCCAAGUCGCGUGCGGGAUGACGGUCCUAUGGAUUGUAAACCUCUUUUGUCAGGGAGCAAAGGGCGCCACGUGUGGCGUUUUGCGAGUACCUGAUGAAAAAGCAUCGGCUAAUUCCGUGCCAGCAGCCGCGGUAAUACGGAGGAUGCGAGCGUUAUCCGGAUUUAUUGGGUUUAAAGGGUGCGCAGGCGGAAUGUUAAGUGGGCGGUAAAAUUCCGGGGCUCAACCUCGUCGUGCCGUGGGAACUGGCGUUCUUGAGUGAGCGAAAAGUAGGCGGAAUGCGUGGUGUAGCGGUGAAAUGCAUAGAUAUCACGCAGAACUCCGAUUGCGAAGGCAGCAUACCGGCGCUCAACUGACGCUGAUGCACGAAGGCGUGGGUAUCGAACAGGAUUAGAUACCCCAGUAGUC
rnacentral:rRNA from 1 species